rnacentral:rRNA from 1 species
UACAGAGGGUGCAAGCGUUAAUCGGAAUUACUGGGCGUAAAGCGUGCGUAGACGGUAGCGUAAGUCGGGUGUGAAAGCCCCGGGCUCAACCUGGGAAUUGCAUUCGAGACUGCUCUGCUAGGGUGCGGAAGAGGGAAGCGGAAUUUCCGGUGUAGCGGUGAAAUGCGUAGAUAUCGGAAGGAACACCAGUGGCGAAAGCGGCUUCCUGGUCCAGCACCGACGUUCAGGCACGAAAGCAUGGGGAGCAAACAGG